AUUAGUUCCUUUCAGUUGUGACGUUAUUUCUAUAAUAUAUCAUAGUGCCUUUGUUUUGAUUUGAAUCAAUUGCAGUGUUCAAAACUUUAGUUUUUUAUAAGGAUUCUACGUCAGGAGUCCAGUAGCUAAGUAAGGAUAUGACGAAGAGAGGAACAUAAUAGUAAAUGAGAGGAAAUUAUUGCGUCCUCUUCUCACCAGAAGCCCGAUUUCGAGAAGUAUUGUUUAUGUUAUGACAAAUUUCGUUGUUGGUCAUUUAUCCUCAUCACCUUAGCAGUUGUCAUCUCCAAAUUUGGAGAGAAACUCUAGAUACCUCUAAGAUAUUCUGAUAUAAUUCCCGCCCCCGUUUAUAAUGGAUGACGAGCAACCUCAUCAGGAAUUAGUCAAAUGCGUACUUGUCGGAGACAAUGCCGUCGGAAAAACACGUCUCAUUUGUGCACGAGCCUGUAAACAAAAAGUAUCCCUCUCUCAACUCCUCAAUACUCACGUCCCCACGGUUUGGGCCAUUGAUCAAUAUCGCAUCUACAAGGAUGUUUUGGAGAACUCUUGGAUGGUCCUUGAUGGUGUGAAUGUGUCUUUAAGACUAUGGGACACAUUUGGGGAUCAUCACAAGGAUCGUAGAUUUGCGUAUGGGCGCUCAGAUGUGGUUCUGAUGUGUUUUGAUAUUGGGCGAGUGAGCUCUCUGGAAAAUUGUAGGGAGAUGUGGUAUCAGCAAAUAAGAAAGUUCUGUCCCAAUACUCCAGUUAUCCUGGUAGGAUGUAAAAAUGAUGUUCGCUUCAUUUUACAUGACGAGCAAUACAUCAAUUAUUGUAAAGAAAGGAGCCCUCUUGUAAGACAAGUGAGGGAAAGAGACCUUGUCUUUCCGGAGCAAGGACGGGCAGUAGCCAACGAGCUGGGAAUACCAUAUUAUGAAACCAGCGUUUUGACCUACUAUGGCUUAAAUGAAGUUUUUGAAAAUGCUAUACGAGCUGCCCUCUGUGCUAAAAGAGCUCAGAGGUUCUGGAUGACGAAUCUUAAAAGAGUUAUACGCCCAACCUUACAGGAGCCCCACUGUCCCCCACGUCCUAAGCUGCCGGAUGUGUUGCCCAUUUCUAGUGUCUAUGGAAUCGAUAGGAUUAAAUUAUUUGACGGCCAGCAUUUUACUGACGUUAUAUUCCUUUGUGGAAACGUUGGCUUCUCUGCUCAUAAAUUCAUUCUUGCAGCAUCCAGUCCUACCCUUCAAAGACUAUUGUCCAUUGAGUCUUUCACAUCUAGCACUUCAGAUAUUGCCCCUACACGGAGUAGUAGUGAAACUAGUCUUGUUAGUUAUUGUCUAAGCUCAAGUCCAAUGUUCACUGGAGGCGAGUAUUUCUACGAUGAAGAAACAGAAUGUCUCAUCCCUCCAUCUGAGCACAAUACACCUUCAAAAUUUUCUUUGUUGGGAAAUUCACCGAGGUUUAGAGGCUGUGGUGGACGACUAAGCGGAACACUGCAUAAGAGUUCCUCAUCCUUUAAUUUACCGUAUUCCUGCUUAUCAUCUUCACCUCAACAGUCAAAUCCAUCAUCCUAUAGGCCACCCGAAACAUCGCGCACACUAAAUCAUCCAGCUUUUACAUCCCUAAAGGUUCAGCAAUGUGAAAGCCUUAAUGCAUCGGGAAAGGUGAUUACCUCUCUCCAGACUGUGCUUACUUGUUCCAAAAUCAUUACACCUCUUUCUAUGAGCCAAGCUUUAAGGUUUAUCUACACUGGUACCCUGGAAAAAGCUUUCGACAAAUUAGACGAGCUUAAACAAGCGGCAGAGUUCCUUGACAUUCCGGAUUUGUAUAAUUUUAUUUACCAUACGAAAGCUUGCCAUUAUAGCUCUGAAAAUGGAAUUCAAUAUCUACUGUGUGCUCAACGAGGUCUCGAAGAGAUUUGCUUUAUUCAAGGACUGUUUGCCGACAUAUUUUUUAGCUUAGACGAUGGAACAUGCUCUGCUCACAAACCCUUGCUUAUGGCACGAUGUGAUAUGAUGCAUGCCAUGUUUUCUCAUGAAGAUUUUGUUGAAAAAUCAGCUCGAGUCAUUAAAUUCCCAGGAGUUUCUCGUUUUACGUUUCAAGAGCUCCUUUACUAUUUGUAUACUGACCGAACACCACCUCAUGUCACUGCUACUAAUUGUUUAGGAAUUUUAGAAAUAGGAAACCGUCUUUGUUUACCGAGACUCAUUAGUCUGAUUGAAACUGCCGUAGUGGGGAAACUGAGCAGUACAGUCAACAAGGGUGGAGAUGUCACGGAAGACGCUCUGAAAAUUUUAGAACAUUGUCAGAUUCAUAAUGCGGACCAAUUAAGUGAAUGGUGUUUGGCCUAUUUAGCCCAAAACUACAACCUUAUUUGUAGGAAAUAUCCUAAGGUUUUGCGGAGCUUGCAUCCAGAAAAUCAAGCCACUCUAAAUGUUCGAAGAUGGCCUCCGAUUUGGUAUCUCAAAGACUUCGAUAAUUACCAAAGAAUGCUCUCUGAGCAAGAAAGGGACAAAAGUCCCAAGAAUUUAAAAAGAACUCGAAAUAACUCUGGAUGUCUAUGCUUCUCUGCUAUAAGGAUGGGCCAUUUUAAUGAUAUCCUAAGUCAUGUACUCUAAUUGGCUGACAUGAAGAUGAUUAACCAGAGGUGGGGAGUUGGACUCCAUAGCUAAAGCCUGCCACUCAACUUGAGUCUAUAUUUUGAAGACUUGCGACUUCUCAUGAUGUCAUGAUCAAUUACUCGCGACUUCACUUGGAAUCGAUACUUGACACUCAAUUUGGACUUGAAGGCUUCAUCUUAAGGUCAACUAAAGGAGGGCUUUAACUCUAUGGAUCCUAUAUUAAAAAUAUGGAUUUGAAAUGACCUGUAUAAAAUAAAUCUUAGGACUCAAUGAAGGACUUGAAAUUGUAACCCAAGACUUGAAACUCGAAUUGGCCUUGCAGAGCAUGGACCCUCCUGCAACUCCGACACUGGUUCUCACCCAGUAGAAUGACAAGCUGUGAACAACCCCUAAAUAAAUUAUUUUUUAAUAAAAGAACAAAAAUACGUUUAAAGCCUAUGUAAAAUAUGGAACUUAUUAAAUCAUUGUGUGAUAAAUUGUAUGAAAGGCAUUUACUCACUCUUUUGUUGUACAUAUAUGUUUGUGAAUGUUUUUUUGUUUUUCAAUUUCAGGAUUUGUAAUUAUAUUAUA
rnacentral:misc_RNA from 1 species